CCAAGGAAAUUGAUUCAUCAUGAAGUACUACUUUCCACUUCAUUUCAUCAUGAAUUUAACUUACUUAACAGACCAAAAUAACUAUGGUACUGUAAUACAUCAAAUACUCCACGCACUGUGCUUUGAGCAAGAGCACUCAGGGUCACUGCCUGGUGACAGCAGCCAGCAGCCAAUGAAGACACGCUUAUAAUCCAAAUGCUAAAGAAUGUUUGGAUACAUGGAAUGUGAAUAUAUCUAUUUACAGGCAGGAAAAAAAUUAACAAUCUGUUUAAUUCUUCAUUGCAAAUAAAAUUCCAAAUAUAUUUAUACAAUGUUUACAAAGGAAAAACACGAGAACCAUGAGGGUUUUCAUUUGGGUCCAGGCACUGUGCCUGCUCUCGGGGAAAUGUCUUCACCAUUCUCUACACACACACACCUUAUUUCUGCAAUGGAGAGAGAAGCACAGGAAUGGCAAUUUUGCACAAUCAGAAUGUCAUGCAGACAGUUGACAACAGAGAAGUGAGAAAUUAGUUGUCCUCUUCAGUUUGCUGUCCAUUUGCCACCUGUUACAUUUUUUUCAGAGAUUAGAUUUAAAACAACAAAAAUUAGAGAAAAGAGCACAAUAUGUUUAAGGCAUAUUAAGCAAAUUUAGAACAGCCUCUCUUUCUGUUAAGUAGAUAUGGAGAUUUUACCCCAAAGCAAAACAAACAGAAGUAUACCCUCCUGAGGUUGGGUUGCUUAUGUCGUAGACACAUUUUUGAAAAUUAUUCUGCACCAAGUAUCCUUUUGAAAUUUUAAAUGAAAAGACUUGUUGAUCACAAAAUGCAUGAUUUUAUGUUUCUAAAUAAAACAACAGUAGCUGAGGUAGUUAGAUGUGAAACUUAUUUUACUUAAAAUAAUGAGAAUGAAGGCAAAUAUUAGUAGCAAAAAUCCUUGUCAUUUGGGAGCAGGUUUAUAUUGUGCAAUGGCUUAAUUCUGAGCAAAACACUUCUAUUUAUCCACUAGAUGGAUAAAUAGUUAAACCACAAUAUUAGUAGUAGGAGUAUUUGUUUCCAAUCUGCCUGAUAGGAUGUAUGUGCAAAUGAAGUUUGUAUUCCCAGCAUCACAUUUGCAGCUCAUACUUUCAUCAUUUCUGCAUUGGAGGCCAUCAUAUGAAAUGGCAUUGUCAUUACUAGAAACUCCAAUCUUAAAGAAAAUAGUAAAAAUGGAAGUAAAAAUCAAUAGGAAGGAUGGUUUCACUCUCACUUUAAUAAUAUUUGUCUUGGCCUAUUUGGUUUCAAAGGGUGAGGAAGCCUCUGGCUCACUGGUUUCUCUCUUCCUUCCGAAAAUGGGAAAACAUAUUUUCAUAUCCUUCACUAUAUCUUUCUUGGGUCAACAGAGCUGUCUGGCUACUGAAGAAAAGCAAAAACUAUUUAGUAGAAGUAGGUUCUCACCCAAGGAUAACUAGAGUCCUCCUUUGUCCUGCCCCUUUGAUCAAAGCAAAGAUUCAGGUGGGAACUUCAAUAAGCAAUGAACUAAAAGAUUCAUUCUUUCAUUAUCCCACAUCAUCUAGAUAUGAAAGGAAUUUUGUGACAGUAAUAUUCCAGUGUAUGGUUGAAUUAGGAAACAUUCCUUUGAUCAAAGAAUCUCUUUCUCUCCCUCUCUCUCUCCCUCCCCCCCUUGAGCUCUCUUUCUCUCCCUCUCUCUCUCUCACUCUCACCCCCCCAUCUGUGUCUGUGUGUGUGUGUUUAAAUCAUUUUUUAGGAAGAGAAUGUUAGUCAAAAGUAGCCAAGAAACUUGACAACUACCUUUAUAGAUCAUCAUAUGUUUGAUGUUUACAAAACACCCUGUCCACAACAUAUAUCUCUUACUUAUAUCUUUACAUAUAUCUCUACUAAAAAUCAGUUUUUCUAACAGUAUCUUAUUGUCAGGGAUGGGCCUUAGAGAGUUCCACAUGGUCUAGGGAGCCUAAGAGACUAAAGUCACCUUCUCUCUAUAAUUAGGUGUAUAGCUUAUAUCUAAGUAACACAUGGUCACUACUUGUUUUUCAUUUGUUUGAGGAAGAAUUUAGGCUCUAACACGUUUGUUUUACUUCUGUUUUGUCUCUUUGUGAUAAAAUCUCUUCCUGACAUUUUCCUUGCUCUGCCCACCUCUCAUCCUAACAAACCCACCCAAAAUGCUGCCACUUUCUAUUCCAAGCCCCUGAAUCAAGUUCAAAGAUUUAACUUUAUUUUUUGUAUAAAAGCAAAUAAAAACUUUUUGUUUCAUAGCAAAAAGGAUAUUCUACUGCACUUUUUGGUUUGAAAAAUAUUGAUGGUACUGGUAGAAACUGGGGAAGGGAGCAGCUAGUAAUAUCAAAUUAGUUCUGAUUUACUAUAUUAAUAUUACUAGUUUAUAAAAAAUAAUACUUAUUUUAAUGCUGUGGCAGUACAGAUUUUUAAAUGGAUCAGAUAAUUGCCCAGGUUAAAAUAAAGCUUCAGAAAUCUUAACAUCAUGCAUUAGAAAUGUUCUAUUUGAAAUUAUAAGGCUUUGAUUUUAGAAUAACAUUUUAGAAACUGGAAGAGAUUAGACUGAUUGUGAACAUUAUGUCAGCUCCAAGCAUGACAUGAUUUAAAACCCACUCCUCAUGGUAAAUUUUCUGAACACUAUUUCAUAUUUUUAAGGGUGUACAGUUUUGCACAAGGGCAUAAUUAUUAAAUAAGGGUACAACGAUAAUAUUUAGGUACAACAACUUUACUUCAUGAAGUCACAUGUUAAAGCAUUAUCUGCAUUGUUAGUAUAGUUUCAUAGUUAUAUUCCUACCUCACAAUAGUGCCUCUGUGACCCAAAAAUUACAAAUAUUUAUAAUUCCAAAUCAUGGUGAUUAGGAUUCAUUCUGAUCAGGUUUAAUUAUUUAAAUAAGAGAAAACAUAUUUCUUUGGGGAAAUUGUACAGAAUAUUCUCUGAGGUGGUUUUCAGCCAUCUCUUUUGUCCUCCAGUAGAAUUCAUAUCUACACACAUAAAAGCACAUGGAUAUCCAUAUAUUGCUGAAGUACUUGUGUAACACUUCUCUGAAAUAUUUAAAAUACAUUUAUAAUGUGAGAAUGAAUCAACUCAGGAGUUAUAAGCAGAAACAAAGCUUUACAUUCUUCUACUGGGCUUUAAAGGGGGUGAUCAUUGUCUCAAAGGACUCAAAAUCUAAUUUCAGUAAAAUCUGUUAAACAUUUCCCCGCCCCUGCCCAGAAUGGAUUUCAGGGCACACUUGCCAUUAUUAGUUCUGAGCUGGAGUAUCAUGCAGAAGCUCUGGAAAAUGCAUGGGACCACACAUGCAAACUCCUUAGACAUCAGCAGAAAUCAGGUUUUCUGGAUGUAUUUAAAUAAACAUUUAGUAAAAUCCAGUUUGGUAAAGAGGAAAAUGGUCUAUCUAUAAGAAUUCCAAUGUCUCUAUCAAAGGAGUUAAUGUAGUAAAAAGUUGACAAUUUAAAAAAAAUUCUACACAGAACUUUGAAGGAAAGUUUUACCUAUAUCAAGUGAUGCAGAAUAAUUGUGUUCUUUGCUUGGUUAGUUAUUGCUGUCAUGUUUCUCAGACAACUCUAACACCCUUCUGCCUAGCCUACCUUCUGUGCUCCUCAAAGUUCUCCUUUGUGUCCCUGUUAGGAAGAAUAACAGUGCUUUCUAACCUCAUGGCAUAGUACCGACUCUUAUUAACCUUCACAAAACCCCUAUGAGGUAGGUAAAUAAAUAUUCUCUCCCUUUCCUAUACGGGAAAAAUGAGGCUGAAGUGAGUUUCUGAGUUUCUGAGGCUGAAGACCAGGGAUUAGGACUCAGGUGUGUGCAGAUUCAUAGUUCUUUUGUUCCACCACUGGAGCAUAGGCCCUCAUGUCCUUGCAUCAAGAAAGAAUAUAUUCUAUAGGAUAAGAUGAUAUUAUUUUGUAGAAUAAGUUUAAAUACAUUUAAAACAGUCAUUGUAUUCAACAUAAGGGUUUUUGAUUUUCUAUUAAAGCAUAAAUUCCAUAUCAAUGAUCACAUAAAGAUAAUUUUAAAAUAGCUAAUUUUUUGUGGUUGCCAAUUAUCUUUUUGCUGUAAAAUUAACUAAAUAUUCUGUCAAGAACAUAAAAGUGAAAAGAUUAGAAAAAGGAUAUAGUGAAGUAAAACUCAUGAGGAAAAAGAAAAGCAAAAACAAUUUAGUUUGGUACCCAUAUCUGCUGGUUCUGGAGGAUUUCACAGGUAACUGAGUAUCAAGCACAGUCUGCCCUCCAAAGUGGGGUUGCAGAGCAGUUAGCACAGGGUGAUAACACCAACUGGCUGAGGCCUUUGCUUCCCAGGUAAAGGACUGACUCAUUUGAGGAAAACUUCUGCAGCUGAGGGAAGGAGGGACCCAACAAUGAACUUCAUUUCCUACCCCUUCUGACUUAGCAUUGGAUAUACAAUUUGACACAAUCAAAAUGCUACCCAAGAAGCUUCAAAAUGUUCAGAUUAUCUUUAGAAACCCUCUCAAGAUCUUUGCAUAGAUGAGUACCUUUCAGUGCUCUGUGUACCUGUAUAUAGUUAAUGCCUCACAGCAAGUUCUACUGCAUAAAUUCUCUGGGCAAAAAAUUGAUCUGAAUACUUUGUCUGUUGUUCUGCCAAGCUUCAGAUCAGUAAAUGAAGUAAGCACAUGAUUUGAGGAAAUAAACAUGCUCACCAACCCAGGAAAAAAUCAGAAGAAACAAGAUCAACUUUCUAAUGUUUCUAAUGUUAUAAGUUAGACAUGUCAACAAAUAAUGACUGGUGCAAGAGCUGGGAUGAGCAUCUCAGAUUUUCCUUCUGGGCACUGACUUUCCCUUUGAUGUCAACUUUUUCUUUUUCUUUUUC
ensembl:lncRNA